rnacentral:rRNA from 1 species
GACGAACGCUGGCGGCGUGCUUAACACAUGCAAGUCGAACGGAAAGGCCCUGCUUUUGUGGGGUGCUCGAGUGGCGAACGGGUGAGUAACACGUGAGUAACCUGCCCUUGACUUUGGGAUAACUUCAGGAAACUGGGGCUAAUACCCGAUAGGAGCUCCUGCUGCAUGGUGGGGGUUGGAAAGUUUCGGCGGUUGGGGCUGGACUCGCGGCUUAUCAGCGUGUUGGUGGGGUAGUGGCUUACCAAGGCUGUGACGGGUAGCCGGCCUGAGAGGGCGAUCGGCGACACGGGAGGUGAGACGGGGACCAGACUACUAAGGGAGGCAGCAGUAGGGAAGCGUCGGCAAUGGGCGAAAGCCUGACGGAGCAAGGCGGCGUGAGUGAUGAAGGGGUUGGGAUCGGAAAAAUCGGUGAUGAGGGAAGAACAAAUGUGGAAGGAAAUAUGCACGGCUUGACGGUAAUGAAUAAGAAAGCCACGGCUAACUACGUG